AACUGCAGCUAAUACUGAUGACGCCCGAGAGGGGGAAAGAUUUAUCGCCUUGGGAGCGGCCCGCGUCGGAUUAGCUAGUUGGUGGGGUAACGGCCUACCAAGGCUUCGAUCCGUAGCUGGUCUGAGAGGACGAUCAGCCACACUGGGACUGAGACACGGCCCAGACUCCUACGGGAGGCAGCAGUGGGGAAUCUUGCGCAAUGGGGCAACCCUGACGCAGCCAUGCCGCGUGAAUGAUGAAGGCCUUAGGGUUGUAAAGUUCUUUUGCCCGUGACGAUGAUGACGGUAACGGGAGAAUAAGCUCCGGCUAACUUCGUGCCAGCAGCCGCGGUAAUACGAAGGGGGCUAGCGUUGUUCGGAAUUACUGGGCGUAAAGCGCGCGCAGGCGGUUUGGUAAGUUAGGGGUGAAAAUCCCCGGGCUCAACCCGGGAAUGGCCUUUAAGACUGCCAGGCUAGAGGACGAGAGAGGUGAGUGGAAUUCCCAGUGUAGAGGUGAAAUUCGUAGAUAUUGGGAAGAACACCGGUG
rnacentral:rRNA from 1 species